rnacentral:lncRNA from 1 species
CUCCUUCACCUCCGCGCUGCUGGUACCUGGAGGGGAGAACAGACCAGUCAGGAGCCUGGGCGGGCGCCGGCAGGUCGAUGGGCACAGCAGGCACUCCCUGAGGGUCCCCGUCCCAGCGACCUCGCCGCCCGCGCCCCCAGGUCAGGCCUGAGAAAUGACUGUGGCCGCCAGAGAGAGGGAGCCCCUGGGAGCCUAUGGCCCAUGCGGGGAAGUAGCGUCCUUGGUCCCUUGCUGAGGGCCUGUGGCUAGGAGCUGUCGUCUUCUGGGCUGGCUCCUGUUUUAAGUGAGGCUGUGUCUCACAAACAGACAAGCGCCCCUGACUUUGUACAAGUUUUGGGCAAUGUCAAAGGUCAGAGAGGCCUUUCCCGGGGUGGUGUGGUCUAGUGUCCCCCUUCCCACCUGCUACAGGGACCUCCAGGCCCGGUGCCCAAUGCCCCCCCAAUACUGAGGGUCAGGGGGUCCGGCCCCCAAACUCUACUUCCUCACUCACAGCUAGAGGCAGACAGGUGGUGUCUCCUGAGAACUCCCUGGAGGAAACCCUAGGAGCUGGCCCAGGUGAGGCACUGCGGCCUUGGGGUGAGUCCCUGGCCUUUCUCCUGGAGAAGGGGCACACCUAUUCAGUAAAUACGGUUGGUCCUCUGUAUUCCUGAGUUCCCCAUCUAGGGAUUCAACUAACUGUGGAGAGAAAGUAUUCGGGAAAAAAUGGAUGAAUCACUACGGAACGUGUACAGACAUUUUUCUUGUUAUUAGUCCCUAAACAAUACAGUAUAACAAUGAUUUGCAUAGCGUUUACACUGUAUUAGGCAGUAUGCGUCAUCCAGAGAUGAUUUAAAGUACAGGCAUGCCUCCUUGUUCGGCUUCCCAGGUAUCGUGUUAUUCACUAAUCCAAGGUUUGUGGCAACCCUGAGUUGAGCAACUCUAUCAGCCCACUGAUCCCACACCAUGCGCUCACCUUAUGCCUCUGUGUCACAUUUUGGUAAUUUUUUUUUUUUUUUUUUUGCGACGGAAUCUCACUCUGUUGCCCAGGCUGGAGGGCAGUGGCGCGAUCUUGGCCCACUGCAACCUCCGCCUCCCAGAUUCAAGCGAUUCUUCUGCCUCAGCCUCCUGAGUAGCUGGGAUUACAGGCACCCACCACCACGCCUGGCUAAUUUUUGUAUUUUUUUAGAGAUGGGAUUUCACCGUGUUGGCUAGGCUGGUCUCGAACUCCUGACCUCAGGUGAUCUGCCUGCCUCCGUCUCCCAAAGUGCUGGGAUUACGGAUGAGAGCCACCGCGCCUGGCCACAUUUUGGUAAUUCUCAAAAUAUUUCAAACUUUCCCAUUAUUAUAUCUGUUAUGGUGCCCUCUGAUGCCUGAUCUUUGAUGUUACUAUGGUGAUUGUCUUGGAGUGUCAUGGAUCGCACCCACUUAAGACGGCAAACUUAGGAACUGUUGUGAGUGUUCCCACCGCUCCACGGACCGGCCGUUCCCUCAUCUCUCUCCCUCUGCUCAGGCCUCCCUGAGAAGCCCCAAUAUUGAAAUUAGGCCACUGAAUAACCCUGCAGUUGCCCCUAAGUGUUUAGUGAAAGGAAGAGUCACUCCUCUCUCACUUUAAAUCAAAUGUAGGGAGAAGGCAUGAUGAUGGCCAAGAUGGGUCAAAAUCUGGUCCCUUGCAGGAACCCAGGCCACUUGCUUGGUUUCUGCCCCUGGGAGUCUUACCACCUUCAUCAGACUGGCAAGCACUUUAAAAAGACCUGUAAUGUCGCAGUGUUUUCAGGUAGGUACCAUAGGUCGGUGGUCAGGAGCACAAGCACAGCUCCUUUGGAAAGCAUUUUGGGAGCUUCGGGCAAGAAUAAAGAAACACACACCUUACUCAGCAAUUCUGCCACUGGAGAUGCAUCCUAGAGAAACCUUCAUACACAGAGGCAGAACUGAACAAAGGUGUGCACUGCAGCAUGCUUUCACAAAACUGAAAACUUUGAAAAUGCCCAAGUUUCUAUGGUUAGAGGAAUGAUGAGUCAUCAGUGAAAUAAUCACACUACAGAAUACUAUAUAGCAGUUGCAUGUAAUGGACUAUGUCUGUAUGCUUCAAUGUAGAUGAAUCUCAAGAAAUAGGAUGCCAGAUAAUAAAAUUGACUUGCAAAGUAACCCAUAGGAUAGGAUAUUAUUAUAAGAACACCGACGUUCUAUAUUCUUCAUGCAGCCAUGCGUCUGUGACAAGGCUGCUGAUGCGUGGGUAAUAAAGAUCCAGUCCAGUCUCCCCUGGAGAGUGUAGGAGGGAAGUGCAAUGAGGGGCUGGGGGGUGACUUCACGUGUGACUUCAGUGCUUUAUUUCUUUUGCAGAAAAUGCUCUGAAGUCCAUUUAGCAAAAUCAUCAUUUGCCAGCUGGGGUGAUGAAUGCAUUUGAUGAUGAUUUAAUUUUUCUGGACUGACCAUCCUGGACCACUGUUUUCUGGCAAAGCUGUUCCAUUAGGGAAUCUCAGCCAUGGAUGGCCCCACGACCUGCUGGGUCCAUACUACCCUCGCUGGUGAAUGUGCUUCUGGAAGGCUCCAUGAGGGUUUACUACAAAAUACUCUGAGAAUUAUGGUAGUGAGCUGUGCCCUUGCCCCACCCUGAGGCUUGGCUCAUGCAGAACCUGGACUUUGCUGCUUCCCAUUGCCCCAGUCAGCCCUGGGGAGGGUAUUAAUGUCCGAUUUUCUCAGUGGGGAAGUUCCUUUACUGAGGUUGCAGAGUUUAUUAGUUGGUCGCAGUGCAGUUCAGUCCUAGGCAUCGGAUCACCCUCGUCUGUGUUGUUGCUGUAAAGGUGAUUUUAUGGAAACUGAUUACUUCCAUCAUUGUCUUGGCCUAUGUACAGUAACACCCUUUUCUGGGCCCUCUGGAAGAGGAAGAUGAAGCUGAGCCCACAGGCUGCCCCACGUGUGACCGGAUGGUGAGCUGUCCCAGGCAAGAACACACAGGCUUCCCUUCACUCAUUGGCUUUGUCCGUGGGGACAGGCUCUUCUGCCAGGUGGGGAUGGACGAGACUGUCAGUGUGAUUACAGUGGCUGGCGUUAUUGCAUGACCUUUGCUGGAUCUCAGAUCAGAACUCACAGCAACGCUUUGCCGCUAGCUGCGCUGAAUGCCUCUUCCUGACUCAAUGUCCUACGACUCUCAGAAUUAAAGUUUUCCAUGGUAUAAACCAUGAAUGUCAGAUUGUGGUAUAAGAG